rnacentral:rRNA from 1 species
GCCUACCAUGCAGUCGACGGGCCGUCGCAAGACGGUCAGUGGCGAACGGGUGAGUAACGCGUGGGAACCUGCCCCGAAGUUCGGAAUAACCGCGGGAAACUGCGGCUAAUACCGGAUGUGGCCUGAGGGCCAAAGGCGCAAGCCGCUUCGGGAGGGGCCCGCGUCCGAUUAGCUAGUUGGCGGGGUAACGGCCCACCAAGGCGAUGAUCCGUAGCUGGUCUGAGAGGAUGAUCAGCCACACUGGGACUGAGACACGGCCCAGACUCCUACGGGAGGCAGCAGUGGG